rnacentral:rRNA from 1 species
GACAGAGGGGCAAGCGUUGCUCGGAAUCACUGGGCGUAAAGGGCGCGUAGGCGGGAUGGCAAGUCGGUCGUGAAAUCUCUCGGCUCAACCGAGAAACGUCGGCCGAUACUGCCGUUCUUGAGGGAUGCAGAGGAGACUGGAAUUCCCGGUGUAGCGGUGAAAUGUGUAGAGAUCGGGAGGAACACCGGUGGCGAAGGCGGGUCUCUGGGCAUUCCCUGACGCUGAGGCGCGAAAGCGUGGGAGCAAACGGG